UGUGCGUUCGUUUUUCCUCACAGGACCAGCCAACCCCACCAAUUGCAAGGCAUCCUUUGUGAGCCCCACACCCUCCAAACACACCGCCCAUCUCUCUCCCAGAAUCUCCCGUUCUCUGUACCCCCAAUUCAGCAAUAAUGGCGUGCGUACUGUGAACUCUUGCUGCUCUUGUUAAGGUAAUUUGGGCUCUCCUCUAUCUGCCACCUGAAUGAUCAGAUUCCAGAGGCUGUGACUUGUUCAACAGAGAACUGCUCCCGUGAGGGAAUCGUCGUCUCCGGUGGCCGUGGUAGGUGGCAGUUUGCGACCGAUGAAUGUUGUUGACGAGUUUGAUUACUGGAAGGGACAGCCGUCUUUCAAGAGUUGGGCCAAGCAAACUGAGGAGAGUUACCAGUUGCAACAGGCUCUGGCGCUUCGUCUUUCAUCGCAGGCUGCCUGUGCGGAUGAUCCCAAUUUCCUGGACCUGGAAUCCAGCUCUUCCUCCAAGUCGGCUGAGGCAGUGUCUCAUCGAUUCUGGGUCAAUGGUUGUUUGCAAUACUCAGACAAAAUUCCAGAUGGAUUUUAUCUUAUCCAUGGGAUGGAUGCAUAUUCAUGGACUAUAAGCACUGAUCUGCAGAAUGUUGGCCUGAUUCCGUCAUUUGAAUCACUGAUGUCAGUUGAACCAUGUGAUGAUUUGUCAGUUAUAGUGGUUGCAAUUGACAAAUCAAGAGAUCCUGGUUUGAGAGAACUGCUAAAUGGCAUAGUUAGUCUUUCUAAUAGCCGGAUUACUAGAAAGGAUUUAAUCGAUCACCUUGCAAAUAUUGUUUGCAGUAGGUUGGGGGGCCAAACCUGGACCGAAGAAAACUUAUCUUCGCGCUGGAAGGAGUGCACUCAAAGUCUAGAAGACAUCCUUCAUUCUGUCAUUCUUCCAAUUGGAAGCUUAACUGUUGGCUUAUGUGUCCACCGAGCAUUGCUCUUUAAGGUAUUAGCUGAUUCAGUGAACCUCCCAUGCCGAAUUGUCAAGGGUUGCAAGUAUUGUAAAAAGGAUGUAGGUGCCUCGUGUUUAGUGCAAAUCAGCCCUGACAGGGAGUAUUUGAUUGAUAUGGUUGGAAGACCAGGGGCUAUGAGCCAGCCCGAUUCUUCCCUGAAUUCUGCAUCUUCAUUAUUAAUUGCUUCACCACUAUGUCAUCCGAAGUUCAAGCCAGUUGAAACUGCUGAAUAUUCAAAGACGUUGGCCCAAUUGUAUUUCAUGGACUGUCAAGGCCUGCAACUUGUAUUUGACUCCAAAUCAGGUGGUGCAGUUGAUCAUAGUGAUGGAAUUGAUCGAAAGCCUACUGAAGCUUUUAAUGCAAACUACGCAGAAGAGUAUGCGUCAUUCAAAAAGGCAAACCAGUCAGUAUUGGAUAAUCAGAGUCACAAGAUUGAUCUUGAUGACGAUGAUCUGGAAAUUUUAUGGAGCGAACUUAUUUUGAAAGAUAAAAUUGGAACAGGUUCAUUUGGAACUGUCCUUCGUGCAGAUUGGCGUGGUUCUGAUGUUGCUGUGAAAAUUCUCAAGGUUCAAGGUUUUGAUGCAGAACGAUAUGAAGAAUUUAGAAAGGAGGUAUCACUCAUGAAACGUCUGCGGCAUCCAAACAUAGUUCUCUUCAUGGGUGCAGUUUUUGAACAACCCAACUUGUCAAUAGUGACAGAAUAUUUAUCAAGAGGAAGCUUGUUUGAACUUCUGCGCAUGCCAGAUGCUAGAUUAGUUCUCAGUGAGAAGCGUCGGUUGAGUAUGGCUUAUGAUGUGGCAAGCGGAAUGAAUUAUCUUCAUCAAAUGAGACCUCCUAUUGUUCAUAGAGAUCUUAAGUCUCCAAAUCUUUUGGUGGACGAUACUUACACGGUCAAGGUAUGUGAUUUUGGUCUCUCACGUACCAAGGCAAACACAUUUCUUUCAUCUAAAACAGCCGCUGGGACGCCUGAGUGGAUGGCGCCAGAAGUGAUUCGUGGUGAACCAUCAAAUGAAAAAUGUGACAUAUUCAGCUUUGGUGUAAUCCUGUGGGAACUAGUGACCCUGCAACAACCUUGGAGAAAUUUAAAUCCGUCUCAGGUUGUUGCAGCCGUUGGUUUCAUGGACAGAAGACUAGAGAUGCCGACCUAUGUGAAUCCCAAAGUGGUUGCCUUGAUUCAACUCUGCUGGGCCGUUGAACCCUCGAGCCGCCCCUCUUUCUCCUAUAUUAUGAACUUUCUGCAGCAAAUGAUUGCCGAUACUCAAGGGUGAACAAGUUCAUGCUGAUCUAUGUCUCUGACUUUAUACAGAAGUAGAACAUCGUUUCAAAAGAAAUAUGUGUGUGUAUGUGUACAUAUAAGAUCAUUUUUUGGUGAUGUCAUUUUGAUGCUCCUGGUUACCUUUAUUGCUCAGUUAAUGGGUAAAUUUUCUGGCGGUAAGGGCACGAGAGACCAUGCUUCAAUUCUUUGUGCAGUCGAAAAUUCUUCCUCCACACAAGUUUCCCGGUGUGCUUGAUGGAGAGGGCUACCAAAACUGAUGCUGGUUCGUUGAUGACAAGAUCCAACUGUAAACGUGAGAAAUGGGUCUGCAGAUACCAGACUUGGCUAGAGAACAUAGGAUUAAGAAACAUUUACGUUUGAGGAUAUUUAGACCAGAGAUGCUUGAGGCUGAGUUGCUUCACCUGUGGCUAAGGCAAAAAGAACUUGAAGGUAUUCUUGAUUCCCAUUUUUUGCAAGAAUAGCUUCUGAACCUGCUACGCACACUUGCAGCUUGUAAACAUUUAUGGUUGCGAGGAUUUGUUGCCUCCAUAGAGGAAAGAUUUCUAUCAUUAAGCUUGGUCAAUAUUGUGAUUGAAGAUUGCUCCUUCCUUCUAAGAAGUGAACUAUAAGCAGAUGUUGAUCAUUCUAGUGCGGUCCA